rnacentral:rRNA from 1 species
GAUGAACGCUGGCGGCGUGCCUAAUACAUGCAAGUCGAGCGAACGGACGAGAAGCUUGCUUUUCUGAUGUUAGCGGCGGACGGGUGAGUAACACGUGGAUAACCUACCUAUAAGACUGGGAUAACUUCGGGAAACCGGAGCCAAUACCGGAUAAUAUUUUGAACCGCAUGGUUCAAAAGUGAAAGACGGUCUUGCUGUCACUUAUAGAUGGAUCCGCGCUGCAUUAGCUAGUUGGUAGGGUAACGGCUUACCAAGGCAACGAUGCAUAGCCGACCUGAGAGGGUGAUCGGCCACACUGGAACUGAGACACGGUCCAGACUCCUACGGGAGGCAGCAGUAGGGAAUCUUCCGCAAUGGGCGAAAGCCUGACGGAGCAACGCCGCGUGAGUGAUGAAGGUCUUCGGAUCGUAAAACUCUGUUAUUAGGGAAGAACAUAUGUGUAAGUAACUGUACACAUCUUGACGGUACCUAAUCAGAAAGCCACGGCUAACUACGUG